ACUGAUCAGGGCACAGCCCAAUCAGAAGACAAACCCCUGCAAUGCCAGGGACCAGCAAAUCCGCUUUCUUCCAGUGUGCACAUGACUGAAUGUGCUUCUGUCCAUCAUCUGGGUCAUAUAUAGUUCAAUGCGGGCUGAGCAGACAGGGCUGCAAGGAAAUCUGGCGUGGUUCAAUAGCUCAUCUAGCCUGGGUUCCAGUAUCUAAAUUUUUCUUACUGACAAAGUCAUUUCUCUACUGGAACAGGAUGCUGUGCUGGCUGGAAGUUCCAUUUCUACAGCAAGAACCCAAUCUGGAAGCACAGAAGUUGUCCUCUUGCCACAGCAGCUUGAACUUUUUGAUUGUUGUUGCUGCUUUCUCCCAUCACCCCCAUCCCCUUUUGACAAAGAUCCAACUGUAAAAAGUCUUACGUAACAGUUCAGGACUACUUCGGUUCUUUUACUGGAACAGAAGCUUUAUACACACCCCAUAACGCAGCUGGAGAAGAGUUAUGAAGUCAGUUAUUAUAAGGAACACAAAGGUUGCUUUGCAUUCCUUGCCUUUAGAAAAUUAAUUUUGUUAUUUGUUUUCUUAAAAUAGAGAUUUUUUAAAAAGAAGAAAUUUACAAAAGAAUAAACUGUUGGAGAAUCUAGCAAAGUUUGAAGUUUUUGCCACCUUUUCUGCAGUUUUGCGUGGCCAAACACUUGUGCCGCCUGGGGCGGUGGGGAUAGAGGCAAGCAUAGACAGAGAGGAACUAAGCCAGACAUGGACAAAGGCAUGAGCCAAAACCAGACAGUCCUGGCCGCUCGAUAGGCCAGCAGUGGGUGAGACAGGUCAGCCAGCUGCAGGGGCGGGAGGGGGAAGGGGCAUGGAUGCGUGAGGUGCUCAUGCGUGCGAUCGUGACUAGAUUCUGAAACUGCCAGCCAUUUUCCCAGCUAUGCUUUGUACAAUCUAAAGGAAUGUAUCUCCUCUGAAGCAGUCUUGCCAGAGCCCAGCAAGAGAGCAGUAUGAUAAAUACCACAACGUACAGAAUCAGAAAAUACUGGGAACAGGGGUGUGCAGAGGGAAUGCAGGGGGUGUGGAAAUUUUUUAGUGAUCUGGAAUGUGUUGAGUGACAGGAAGUGCCCCAAGUCUCCCCCCAACCAACUCUUCUCAGUCGUGCCUGCUUUUGUCUAACUCUUGUAAUCUACACACUACUGCUUACAAAGCUGUCUGAGUUUAAGACAAAAAGAAACAUAAAAGGCUCUCCGUUUCAUACUAUCUGUGAUAUGGAAGGAAUGUAAAAGUAUGGCCCUUCAAGCCUGUCGAGAUUUUUUUUCAAGUAUACAAGAGAAAGAUAAAAUAAUUUUCCAUAGAUAAGAAGGAAUUAUGAAUUACAAUCCAGUUCCAAUUUUGCUUUAAAAAAAUCCCUAUGUUGCUGUACUUACCAAUGCUUAGGUUUGUUCCUAAUUUGAAGGAGACCUGUUUUGCUUGGUGAAUAUACUGCAUUUGAAGUUGUUUCUAUGAUUUCUUUGUACAAAUUUGGACUUCGGGAGAAACACAUAAAGUAUUAAGUAGAGUACACUAAAAAGGAGAGGGGAAUUUUUCCUUCUAUUGGUUGGAAAGUAUUUUAAAGGACUGGUUUCUUAGAAAAAGUAGCUCUCUACUACUUUUGGUUUGAAUAUUAGAAAGGUAACUUUAUGCUGUAAUGAAUGUUAGGGAGGAAACUUUUGAGAGAAAAUAAGUGGUAAUAAGUGAACAAAAACCUUAGUACUUCCCCAAACUUCUCUGUAUUAUCAAUAAAUACUAAAACUUGACAGAAAAGUUGCCAAAUAAUUAAACAGCCAACCCUACUUUUGUAAGUAUGAAACAGAAAAUUAGUGUGAAUAAAAUGAUACUCUGAAAUGUUUCUACCUCCUAUUACAAAGGAUGUUAGUGGUCAGACUAGGAGUUAAUCUUUCCUAGUGUGGCUCUGAGCCUUCAUGCCGAGCAGACGUUAAUUCACAUGACGAUUCGAAAAGUCCAUUCAUAUAUCUCACUACCUGGAUUUGAAUAGAAACCAGACAGCAAUUCUUUAGUUCCAGCCACCAUUCGCCACACUGGACAAUAGCGAUUUGUUAGCACAGAGUCACAGGCUGUGGGACACAAAGCUUAGAGCUGCAGAAAGAUGGGGGAUUCAGAGGACAGGAAAUUACAGGCUCGAUGCACUCCUGGCAGCUCUGAGAAUACAAAAAAAAAAAACGGCAACACAAGAGAUGCCACGUUUAAGAGCUACUUCUAGCUUUUUUAACCACCUCCAAUGUCAUAAAAGCACUAUUGUUGGAGUACAUAAAGUCACGAGUCCCAUGUGCUCUUUCCUCACUACAGGGAACUUCAUUCAAUUCCCUAGCACAGUCAGAAAUAUCAAAAGCAUCCAGAGUUGAUUGGUUCUAUGUUCUGGUGGAAAGGAGAGAAACAUUUUAUAAACAAAAUGUCAA